CAGUCUGCAACUCGAGUGCAUGAAGCUGGAAUCGCUAGUAAUCGCGAAUCAGAAUGUCGCGGUGAAUACGUUCCCGGGUCUUGUACACACCGCCCGUCACACCAUGGGAGUCGGGGAUGCCCGAAGUCAGUGACCCAACCGGAAGGAGGGAGCUGCCGAAGGCAGGUUCGAUAACUGGGGUGAAGUCGUAACAAGGUACC
rnacentral:rRNA from 1 species